rnacentral:rRNA from 1 species
AUUGAACGCUGGCGGCAGGCCUAACACAUGCAAGUCGAACGAGUGGCGGACGGGUGAGUAAGGUCUGGGAAACUGCCCGAUGGAGGGGGAUAACUACUGGAAACGGUAGCUAAUACCGCAUACCAUCGGAUGUGCCCAGAUGGGAUUAGCUUGUAGGUGGGGUAACGGCUCACCUAGUCGACGAUCCCUAGCGGGUCUGAGCGGUUGACCAGCCACACUGGAACUGAGACACGGUCCAGACUCCUACGGGAGGCAGCAGUGGGGAAUAUUGCACAAUGGGCGCAAGCCUGAUGCAGCCAUGCCGCGUGUAUGAAGAAGGCCUUCGGGUUGUAAAGUACUUUCAGCAGGGAAGCGUUACCCACAGAAGAAGCACCGGCUAACUCCGUGCCAGCAGCCGCGGUAAUUC